rnacentral:sRNA from 1 species
ACAAAAAGGCCUAGUUAUAGGUCCUAAUAAACCAUCUUUGCCACAGUACGGCACACCAACUAGAGCUCUCACCACUAUUCCUGGCUGGGAGACCUCACAGGCCCAUGUCCACCACUUUCCUCAACUGCCCUCUGGCCAUGCUGCUCAUCUGGGCCUAGUACAGAAGCAGUGUGGCUUUGGGGCCCAUCCUGAUUUCUAUGAAAUACUGAUCAGAAAACUUUUAAUUUCUUUGCAGGAAAUUGAAAAAUUGGAGCACAAAUUGAACCAAGCCCCUGAGAAGUGGCAGCAGCUGUGGGAAAGGGUAACCGUGGACCUUAAAGAAGAACCAAGAACAGAUCGCUCCCAAAGACACCUGUCGAGAUCCCCAGGAAUUGUGUCUACCAACCUACCUUCCUAUCAGAAGAGGUCUCUGCUACAUCUCCCAGACAGCAGCAUGGGGGAGGAACACAAUUCCAGCAUCUCCCCAUCCAAUGGAGUGGAGCGAAGAGCAGCCACACUCUAUAGCCAGUAUACAUCCAAGAAUGAUGAAAACAGGUCCUUUGAGGGAACGCUUUAUAAAAGAGGGGCUUUGCUGAAAGGUUGGAAGCCCCGUUGGUUUGUUUUGGAUGUAACAAAACAUCAGCUGCGCUACUAUGACUCAGGUGAGGACACAAGCUGUAAAGGCCACAUUGAUCUGGCUGAAGUAGAAAUGGUCAUCCCUGCUGGCCCCAGCAUGGGAGCCCCAAAGCACACAAGUGACAAGGCUUUCUUUGAUCUCAAGACCAGCAAACGUGUGUAUAACUUCUGCGCCCAGGAUGGACAGAGUGCCCAGCAAUGGAUGGACAAAAUCCAGAGUUGUAUCUCUGAUGCCUGAUGCCCAUGGUCAACCCACGCAGAAGAAACAGAAGAACUCAUGCUGCCAGAUAGAAAAAGAAGCAUGGAUCCUUGAGGAGCUGACAACAAGUUAUCCCGGGGCCUGAGGUUCUCCUGCCCAGUCCCCUCUUGCAGGGGUUGCUAUAUCUACUUAACCUGAACAGGUGUUUCACACAGGUCUGGUCAACAGCCCCAUGCACUCCCUGUAUCUUGCACUAAAUUUUUCUAACAGGGUCUUAGUGGUUAAUGAUCAGAAGAUGUCUCCUGAGCCAACUGUGAACCUCACCCAGGCAAAAUGGCUACCACCUACUUGCGUCCUUCUUCAUGAAAGCUAUAGAUCCUUUUUUGUUCUCUGAGGUCAUAAUUUCCUUGGAGACCUGUUUAACAAGCAAAAAUCAAAACCCUCCAAGAUUGUCUCAUAUUCUACCUGGAUUAGGUUUCCUAUGAGAGACAUCUACUUGUAAUGCCUGACCUUUGAGAUGCUCAGUUCUCUGAUGCUGCCAAAAGAUGCUUCCAUGGUCCGUGCUCUGCCAGUGGGGUUCACAACAAGAGACGUCAUUGUUCAGUAGCAGGCAAAGAGGGAGCACACAGCAUUAUUCUGAUGGAAAAAGAUUAUCCAGGGAAUGGUACAACAAUGACCAGCCCAAUGCAGGAAAACACUACUUCCAAAACACUGAAUUCUCUAGACCAGAGGUGCUCUGAGGAUCCAGAGCCUUGUGUUCUUAUGUAUCUUCUGCUUCCUGACAGUUUCUUUUUCAAAAUAACAUGCAAAAAAAGCUGAAUGCACUAACUCACAAAACAAACACUUGCACUGAAUUCCCAAUGAAGUGAAGAUGUUGGAAAGACAGAGGCCAGCUAUUUAGGACCAUACGCACCUGUGACAAGGGCUGUGUUGACCACAGUCACACUGUGGCAUGACUGGAUACCCAAACUACACUUCUACACAUGAAAAGUAAGAACUGUCUUUAGAUUUUCUUUACUUUGAUAACUUGUGAUUGUUUAGCUUAAGACCCAAGAAAUGCUGUUUGCUCAUGGUAAACAAACAGAAACAGCAUCUUCGCUACAACCACUGACACCAGCUGGCGUCAUAGGUAGCUAGAUCAUUGCAUUUGUUUUGAAAUGUUAAUAUGUUAAAUACUAAACUAAUAUUUCAAAAAUGUGUAUAUAUGAUUUCUAUAUCCUUGUUUUUCAGAUAGCCUGCUUAUAAUUUAAUAUAAAUUAACUGAUGCAUUCAUAAGAUUUCAAUAAUGAAAUGGUUCCCUUUU